GCCGACAAGUUUCCGGUCCGCUGUAUUCACUUCUUUAAACUCAUACAAGCAGCUCCAGCAUAUCCCCGAACCGUUUGCAAUUAGUUACACUUCACAUUCAAAAUGACUUCUGCCAACCCAUCACCGGGAGUCCUCUCCUCUCCUUCCUCCUCCAAUUCCUCUUCUCUAAUCUCUCAAUGGAGUUAUGAUGUAUUUUUAAAUUUUCGAGGUGAGGAUACCCGUGAUAAUUUUAUUGGUCAUCUUUAUAGUGCUUUGCAUCAAAAGGGAAUCAACACUUAUAUAGAUGACAAACUCAAAAAAGGUGAAGAAAUUUCACCUGCGCUUUUAAAGGCUAUUGAAGAGUCAAAGAUUUCAAUCGUUAUAUUUUCUGAAAACUAUGUGUCAUCUACGUGGUGUUUGGAUGAGUUGAUAAAAAUCUUAGAGUGUAAAGAAUCAAAGCAGCAUAAGGUUUUACAGGUAUUUUACAAAGUCGAGCCAUCGACAGUACGACACCAAAAAAAUAGUUUUAAAGAAGGGUUAGCUAAACAUGAAGACAAGUUCAUGGAUGAUGCUAAAGUUCAGAGGUGGAAGACUGCCUUAAAACAAGCUACCGAUCUAUCCGGUUUGCAUUUAAAGAUCAACGGGAACGAAUCUGAAUUUAUUCAGAAGAUUGUUCAAGAGCUCUCAAGCAUGUUACCAAAUCGUACAUGCUUGCAUGUUGCCAAUUAUCCGGUUGGGUUAGAGUCUCGUGUAAAAGAUAUUAAUAUGCUUUUAUGUAUUGAGAUGAUUAAUGAGACACGCAUGAUAGGGAUAUUUGGUAUUGGGGGAAUUGGUAAGACAACUAUUGCAAAACAGAUGUAUAACCUCAUUGCUGAUCAGUUUGAAGGGAGUUGUUUUCUUGCAAAUGUUAGAGAAAAUUCAAAACCAGAUAAGGGCGGUCUCAUCCAACUACAAGAGAAAAUUCUUUCUGAUAUCAUAAGAGAUCCAAAUUUUAAGGUCGGUCAUGUUGAUAGAGGAAUCAAUUUGAUAAAGGAGAAACUUCGCUAUAAAAAGAUUCUUUUGGUUCUUGAUGAUAUUGAUUGUUUGGACCAAUUAGAAAAUCUAAGUGGAAGAUGCGAUUGGUUUGGAUUGGGAAGUCGAAUCAUCAUAACAACAAGAGAUGAGCAUCUACUAGUGAAGCAUGAUGUUGGAAAUUGGAAAUAUCCGAUGAAUAAAUUGGAUCAUGAAGAUGCAGUUAAGCUCUUUUCUUGGCAUGCCUUCAAGUGUGACAAACCGGAUAAUGAUUUUGUGGAACUCACCAAACUUGCAUUGCAAUAUGCUGGUGGCCUUCCACUUGCUUUAACUGUGGUAGGCUCAAAUCUUCGCGGAAGAGAUAUCGAUUAUUGGAGAAGUGAAUUGGAAAAGUACAAAAGAAUUCCAGAUAAAAAGAUCUAUGAAAUACUCAAAAUAAGUUUCGAUGGAUUAAAUUAUUAUGAGAAAAACAUUUUCCUCGACAUUGCAUGUUUCUUCAAAGGAGAAGAAAGGAAAUAUAUCAUUCAAAUAUUGCACGGCUGUGGUUCUUUUCCUGAUUCUGGUAUUAUAAAUCUUAUAGAUAAAUCUCUCAUAAUUGUUAAUGAAUGUGACAAAUUGACUAUGCAUGACUUACUUGAAGAUAUGGGCAAAGAAAUUGUUCGAGAAGAAUCACCUGAAGAACCUGGGAGACGCAGUAGGUUAUGGUUUUACGAAGAUGUGCGAUAUGUACUUGAAGAAAAAACGGGUACAAAGAAAAUACACGGCAUACUGAUAGAUAUGCCUCCAGGGGACCGCAUGAUACUCUCGAGUCCCAAUGUGCUUGCUAAGAUGAAAAAAUUGAGAAUAUUUAUAAACCGCAAUGCAAGUUUUGGUCGUGGAUUAAAUUGUCUCUCUAACGAGUUAAGAGUUCUUGAUUGGCCCGAAUGUCCUUGGCCAUCUUGGCCGCCAAAGUUUCUUGGAAAGAAACUCAUUGCUUUAAAAAUGGAAGGAAGCAUGAUUGGAGAUUUUGGCAUGGGAUUGCUAUCUAAGGAACGCUUUCAGGAGAAAGAAUCAAGCAGGAUUAUAUAUCCAGGAAGUAGGAUUCCAGAGUGGUUCAAGUAUUGCAAGGAGAGUACUUCAUAUAGUAAUUAUAUUGAAAUAGAAAUUGAUCAUAAUGCGUCCAUGUGUGGGCAUCAGAUCGUGGCAUUAGUUUUGUGUUUUGUUGUGGGACCUCUUCCGGAAGGUACUUUAGUUAUCACAAUAAAUGGCCAGCAUAUUAGCAAUUAUGGUAAUUUUCUACAUUGUUCAACGGACCCACAUCGUGUAUGGCUACAAUACAUAGCUGGAAAUUCUAUUAAUCAGUUACGGUCAAGGAGAUUUACAUUUGAAAGUAAUUAUAACAAGAUCUUCAAAAGUGCUGGAGUCCAUCUCAUAUACGGGAAUGACAAUUUCAUUGAUCCUAUUCAACUUUCCAAGACAUACCGAGAUGAUGGUGAGAAUGACUUGCAACCCGAUUGGAACCCACAACAGAAGAGGCAAAGAUCUUCAACCAGCAUUAUGGCAAGGAUGCUAAUGAAGAUUUAACUAAUGAAGAUUUGAAUUUAGAACUUCGACUUGGGAAUUGAAGUUUGGAAAGGAAUCAAAGUUGCGGAAGGAAUCAAAGCUGGGAAAGGACUAUAACCAUAACAGACCUUAACGGUAAUUGAUAAAAGUACUCUUAGGAUGCUUGUGGAACUUGCAGCAAAGUAAUCUCUUCGACCACUUUACUGGAAUUUCAGUACAUAUAUACACCAGGAAUAUUGAUACAGAUUCAAGGCCCCCAAGACUAUGUUUUUAGACCAAGACCAGAUUUGUAAAGGGAGAUAUAAGUGCCAUGAAAACUAUGUUUUACAAGCCUAAUGACCAUAAGAAGGCUUUCUAUGAGACUAUGAUGACCUCUUCCCAUAUUGGAAAGGAUUCUGGAUGAAUUGGUCACCAUUAAAAGGCUGAAAUUAAUGACCAAAUUUAUGUGUGGGGGGAAGAAAGGUAAUGUGUGUGGAGCUGGUUUUCUUAACAGUACUUGUGGCAAACACAUGCAUUGAGAUGAAAUUAAUUAAUUUCUGUGUAAGUUAAGCGAAUCUAAACUGUUGUUGAUUUUCUUUUUCAUAAUACUGUAAUUGUUGACCUUGGGCUGCAUUUGUCAAAAUAAAGGGUAAUUGUUGAAAGUUCUUGGUUUGGGAAAUGACACAAAUCAUAGGUUCUAAAGCUCAAGAUGGGAUUAUUAUCAUACUUUUGUACCCAUUUCAAAACUAGAAUGAACACUUGAGGAAAUAAUAAUCCCUACUAAUCAGGUCAUGUACUAAUGCAUAAUGAAAAAUCACUUGUAUAUUAGUAUCACCAAUAUUGGCCUGCCAUUUUGUUGUUAUCUUCCUGGAGCUCUUGGAUUCUAUUGCAUCUAAUCUCGCCUGACCUGAUGGCUAACCGUACGUGGCAAAGGCAGCGGUGGAGCUAUGAUUUUAUUUGCAAAACUACUACAUACAGUUGUAGCAUAUAGUCGCUGCGGAGUUGCCACGUCAUCAGUUGAUUAAAAAAAACCAAUAAAAAAAAAGAAAACAAAAAUGAAGCCGAAAACUGCUCAGGGCUCAUUCCCACUUCUUGCUCCUCUGUUCUGCAGCCUCAUGUUCUUGCUCACAGAAGGUUCGUGGCUUCGUGGUGCUCUGGCGGUGGUCUUAGAUCUCACAGAAAUUUUGUGGUGCUCUGGUCUGAAGCUUGCAGUUGUCUUCGAUCUCUCAGAAACUUAGGCCGUGGCGUCGUGGUGGUCUGGUCUGAAGCUUGGGUCUUCGUGCUCACAGAAGCUUCAUUGCGUUGUAUUCUUUUCGAGGUCGUGUUCGGCUUCGUGGUGUCGUCUUCUACUCAAGCUCGUCCUCUGCACCGAGAUCUUCAAGUCUUGAAGUGGAUCUCUGCGGGUAUUUUUCUGGGUCUCUAGGAUCUUCGUGUGGGUCUUCAAGAGGCCGUAAAAUAUUCGUCAAGGUCAUCUUCUUGGUGGAUCUCAACGUUAUUACGAACUGUUUGAAAAGAUACCAUCAGAUUUGGUAAAAGUAGUACUGAUUGCUCGUGAUAGAAAGGCUGCUACUCUUUUGCUUCAGAGGCUGCUUUUCUACUUCCCUCCAAGUUCAGCUACGGAUUUGAACGGUUGGAUGAGUGAACGUGGAAUCAAUGGGCAUACAAUUUUGUCGUUACUGUAGCUUGGCACUCUUGGAGGUGUUUUGGUUUUAGCCUGUCGUUGGUAGUUUCUAAAUGACAAGAUGAUGAGUUGGAGCAGGGUCCUUUGGUAGGGUUUAUCAUCGGUUGUAUGUUUCCAAUCACCACGCUGUUUAACUGAAGGUUAAUCCUUACAGAUGCAAUUUAGAUUGGAUGGAUCACAGCCAGUGCAGGAUGGGUUGGAUGGAACACAAUCGGUGCAAUGAGAACCAACACAAUUGAUGAGACUAUCAUUAUUUUUUUUAGACAUUUUUUUUGGAGAAUUGAAUGCUGGAAACUUAAAUUGGAGAUUUCUGGAGAGUUGAUUUAUUUCUUUUAGAGAAAAUUUUAAAGCACUUGACGUGCAAGUUUAUGCGUGUUUUCUGGAGACUUGAUGAACUUGUUUUAGUGAAGAUCUCUGGAUACUUGAUUUUUGGAAAAGCACUAUUACAGGUGAUGCA